rnacentral:rRNA from 1 species
UACGUAGGGGGCUAGCGUUGUCCGGAAUCAUUGGGCGUAAAGCGCGUGUAGGCGGCCCGGUAAGUCCGCUGUGAAAGUCGGGGGCUCAACCCUCGGAAGCCGGUGGAUACUGUCGGGCUUGAGUACGGAAGAGGCGAGUGGAAUUCCUGGUGUAGCGGUGAAAUGCGCAGAUAUCGGGAGGAACACCUAUGGCGAAGGCAGCUCGCUGGGACGUUACUGACGCUGAGACGCGAAAGCGUGGGGAGCAAACAGG